rnacentral:tRNA from 1 species
UCGGAUAUGGUGUAAAGGUAACAUAUCCGCCUCUCACGCGGUUGCUCGGGGUUCGAUUCCCCGUAUCCGAA